rnacentral:rRNA from 1 species
GAUGAACGCUGGCGGCGUGCUUAAUACAUGCAAGUCGAACGAGGAACUUUUGUCUUCGGAUAGAGGUUUCCUAGUGGCGAACGGGUGAGUAACGCGUUGGUGACCUGCCCCAAAGUGUGGGAUAACAGUUCGAAAGGACUGCUAAUACCUCAUGUGAUCAGCGGGAUUAGAUGCCUGCUGAUAAAAGGCGUAAGCCGCUUUGGGAGGGGCCUGCGUCCCAUCAGCUAGUUGGUAGGGUAAUGGCCUACCAAGGCUAUGACGGGUAGGGGACCUGAGAGGGUGGCCCCCCACACUGGCACUGAAAUACGGGCCAGACACCUACGGGUGGCAG